AUUGAACGCUGGCGGCAUGCCUUACACAUGCAAGUCGAACGGCAGCAUGGGUGCUUGCACCUGAUGGCGAGUGGCGAACGGGUGAGUAAUGCAUCGGAACGUACCCGGAAGUGGGGGAUAACGUAGCGAAAGUUACGCUAAUACCGCAUAUUCUGUGAGCAGGAAAGCGGGGGAUCGCAAGACCUCGCGCUUCCGGAGCGGCCGAUGUCGGAUUAGCUAGUUGGCGGGUAAAGGCCCACCAAGGCAACGAUCCGUAGCGGGUCUGAGAGGAUGAUCCGCCACACUGGGACUGAGACACGGCCCAGACUCCUACGGGAGGCAGCAGUGGGGAAUUUUGGACAAUGGGGGCAACCCUGAUCCAGCCAUGCCGCGUGAGUGAAGAAGGCCUUCGGGUUGUAAAGCUCUUUCGGCUGGGAAGAAAUCGCAUCUCCUAAUACGGGGUGUGGAUGACGGUACCAGCAUAAGAAGCACCGGCUAACUACGUG
rnacentral:rRNA from 1 species